GCGGAGGAAGAGGCAAGCCUGGAGGAAGUGGAGGUCGCGGCGGUGGUGAUUCCUGAGGUGGACGAGAGGAGGAUGACCGUCGUGACUGAAGCUAAAAAGCAUGCUGUCGACGUGCCGGAGUUGGUGGUGGGCAAGAGCCCAAGAGUGUCGUCACAUUACAUCGUCUCUCCCUUCACGAUUGAGACGAAUAGGAGGAGGUUCGUCGACCGGACGUGCCCCAAUCUGUUCCAGGAGGUCGACCAUGCCAAAUGGUAAGCAUUCGAGACUGAGUGGCAAAAAGUAUUACCCAAGUAAGUAUUGUAUGAUUUAUAUGACUGAUACUACAACUUAGUGUUGCAAAGUGG
rnacentral:lncRNA from 1 species